AAGCUUGAAGCGAACCGCAAUUAGUUUCGACCUAACCUAUGAUGAAUCACCUUCAUCCAAGCUUA
rnacentral:tRNA from 1 species